CCAUUAGCUAGUUGGUAGGGUAAUGGCCUACCAAGGCUACGAUGGUUAGCUGGUCUGAGAGGAUGAUCAGCCACACUGGAACUGAGACACGGUCCAGACUCCUACGGGAGGCAGCAGUGGGGAAUUUUGCGCAAUGGGCGAAAGCCUGACGCAGCAACGCCGCGUGAGUGAUGAAGGCUUUCGGGUCGUAAAGCUCUGUCGAGGGGAAAGAAGUGUACGAGGGCUAAUAUCCUUUGUACUUGACGGUACCCCUAAAGGAAGCACCGGCUAACUCCGUGCCAGCAGCCGCGGUAAUACGGGGGGUGCAAGCGUUGUUCGGAAUUAUUGGGCGUAAAGCGCGUGUAGGCGGUCUGAUUAGUCUGAUGUGAAAGCCCCGGGCUCAACCCGGGAAGUGCAUUGGAAACUGUCAGACUUGAAUACGGGAGAGGGUAGUGGAAUUCCUAGUGUAGGAGUGAAAUCCGUAGAUAUUAGGAGGAACACCGGUGGCGAAGGCGGCUACCUGGACCGAUAUUGACGCUGAGACGCGAAAGCGUGGGUAGCAAACAGGAUUAGAUACCCUGGUAGUCCACGCCGUAAACGAUGAGUACUAGGUGUUGCGGGUAUUGACCCCUGCAGUGCCGCAGCUAACGCAUUAA
rnacentral:rRNA from 1 species